rnacentral:lncRNA from 1 species
AAAGACCCCAACCCAAACAGCGCUCCCUCUUCACGCGCCUCUGCCUGCCUCUAAACUCGCCGGAACUCGUCCAAACCCGGCGAGGUCACUCGGUGGUCCCCCCUCUCCUCUCAUUUCCUUCUUCCACGAUCACACACUCCGUAAAGCCUCAUCAUAUCCAUUAGACUCACGUGUUUUCCUUUCUUUUUCGUUCGAUUUGAAGCAAAUCCGAGACCCUUGAAUAAAUCUUGGAGAAAUAGGAACCGUUGGAUGAAGGUUUUUGUCCAAAGUCUCCAUUUUUCCAAUUUUUGUUGGUGAAAGGGGAUUUUUGAAUUUUAUUUUGAGGGCAAAUUCGGGUUUUGGGGUGUUUCUUGUUGAAGGAGGAGAGAAGUUUCGAGGGAGAGCUAUAUAUUUAAGGUUUUUGGACAGAAUUUUCGGACAGAAAAGAUAGAGGAAGAAUUAGGGUUCUUUCAGUUUCUUUUGAGAUUUUCUGUUUGGUUUUGCAUUCAAAAAAAAAAUACAAAAUAGUUUGAGUUCGAUUUUUGUUCAAGUAUCGUUCCAUUUCAAAAAUCAGAAAUUACCUCAAUAAAAUAUAUUUUAGUUUCUUCUUUUGAUCGUGUUGUUCAAAAAUGGACCUCGAUUGAAGUUUGGUUCUGAGUUCGCCCCCGAGGUCGAGUUUGCCGUUCGAGCUUUGUUUCUGGUUCGUUGCUCCUGGCGAUUUACUAUCAUUUAUUUCAAGUUUCAGUUACAGAAUCGGCUUGUAUUUGCAUCCCUCCGCGAAAUAUAUAUUGAAAGCAAUCUUGUCAUCUAAGGUUCAUUCUCCUUCCUCUUAUUUCUGUUUUGGUUUGGAUCAAAGUAUGAUAAGAGCCGGGAUUUAAAAAUGUUUAACAACUGCGUGAAUCUUUUCAAUAUUUUGAGCUCGUAUUUGCGUUUGAAUUUGCUUGUGAAUCUGCGAUGCACUUCCCUGGCAGUUUGAACCUUUGUUUUAUAUGUUUGGUUAAAAUUGAGUGUGAAACGAAAUGUAUAUUUGAGUCGAUUUGCUGAAGAUGUCCUCUGUUUUCCGUUGCCUCUGUUGGCCCUGUUGAAUAUUCAAGAGACAUAUUUUGAAUCACUGUUAAGCCUCAAUUGAUUUGAGUCCUUUUAAACGUGCCUUGAUUCUGUUUUUCGUCUCGUUUAUGUGUUGGGAUUAUGAAGGGAGUAUACUAGCUUGAGCAUCUAUAUUUUAGCAUGAGUUUUGAUGUUACCAGAUUGUCCAAAUAUUUCCUUGCCAUGACUCCUGAUUUUGUUAGCUUGCGAUAGUUUAUGCUUAUCUUGGGUAUCAAGGAUUUGUUGGUAUUCAUUAGUAAAGCUUGAAUAUGAUGGAAUUCUCACUUUAAAAGUUAACUUAGUUUUUUUGUGCUUACCCGUGAUUCUUACUAGCAUUCUGUCUGUUUCAGUAAAAUCGAGGGGGCAAUUAAGGGAAUGUUUUGAAUCCUCUGUUCAUUAUUCACUACGUUGUUUUGAUUCAUGAUUUUAAAGUAUGUCAUGUUCUGUUCGUUCCAUUCUUCUCUUAGCAGCCUGAAUAGUUGAUCAACUAUAUUGCUUUAAAGUCGAUUUUCCGGGAAUAAUAAAUGAGCUUCCUUGUUCUUGAGUGAUUUAGUUUCUUUCGCCAAGUCUAAGUUAUUUGCUCUUCGAAUUUUGUCAGUUCUUUAACCAUGGGUUCUCAUAUUAAGCACAUGAGACAUUGGACUUGAAUCAUCUCUGUAAUACUAGGUCGGUUUUCAUGUAUUGGUGACGAUAUUUUCAUGUCUUGUUUGUUCCUCUACCAUGAUUUGAAAUUGAUAUUAAUACUGCCAAAAAAUAUUUGGAUGGAUAACUUUAGACCUUUUGAGAGUUCUCUGUGUUUAGGUUGUAAAUGUGAUGAACAUAGGCUUAGUUUAAGUAAGGCGGCAGGUUCUGAUUUGAGUUGAUUUUCAUAUUCACAAAUUCAAGUUUGUUGGAGUAGGAUUUCAGUCAUGGCUCGUGCCACUUUAUUCUCUCAAACAUAUCUUCAUAUGUGAAUGGCCCCUUUGGAUUGUUCAAUGUUCUGCUAAUUUAGUAAUUGCGACAAGCAAAGAGGAUAAACUAGUAUUUAGUUGAAUCCGGUAUUGCAAGUGAGAUUGGGAAGGGGUUAGCUAUAUUUAGAAGGCUCUUAUCAUACUUUGAUCUGCUAUUUUGUUUCGUUUGUAUCAUGUUACUAUAUUUCUUUUCUUCUAUGUAAUUAGACGCUUAAUACUACUUGGCAUGAAUGGAUGAUUUGAAUGACUUUUUCUUGAAAGAUUGUUGGAUCGUGGGAGUGGGAGUGGGGAAUGAUCAAAGCCCAUUAUUAAUUAACCGUUCUCAUGUCUUAGGAUUGGGCUUGGUCAAAUACAUGAAAUAAGAAGUCAAAGGAAAAUGAGCAUGAUUUAGAAUUUGCCUUUACUUAGUUUUCUUUUAUUUAUUUUGCUAUAUUAACCUCUAGUAGCAUGCUUAGGCCGAC